GAAAGAGGAUGUAAGAAUCUGAGAGUGUGAACCUCAAAAGAUGGGAAUGAAAGUGAUGGUACUAGAGGAAUGACUUGGAAAGUGGAUUGUGGGGAAAGAUGUCAGGUCUGGGGAUAUGUAAAUAAAGGAAGCCAGUUUCUGUCCUCCCUGUGCAGAUGGAAACUACAAGCAUGGUCUGAAGGAAGAUUGUCAUCUGCUGUAUCUCCACCUCUCAGCAGCUCUUCAUUCCUCCUACAACAGACCCAACCACUUCCUCCUCCACACCAGCAUAGAACGCUUAGAAUCACUAAGUUGCAAAGACCUUUUGAUAUCACAUGGUCAAGUGACCAGAUCAAGUCACAUGACCAGAAAAUAAAAAAAUGUACAUUA